ACUCCUACGGGAGGCAGCAGUGGGGAAUUUUGGACAAUGGGCGAAAGCCUGAUCCAGCCAUGCCGCGUGAGUGAAGAAGGCCUUCGGGUUGUAAAGCUUCUUUUAGUCGGAAAAAAAGAUCGUAAAUAAUACUUGCGAUUAAUGACGGUACCGACAGAAAAAGCACCGGCUAACUACGUGCCAGCAGCCGCGGUAAUACGUAGGGUGCGAGCGUUAAUCGGAAUUACUGGGCGUAAAGGGUGCGCAGGCGGUUUUGUAAGUCAGAUGUGAAAUCCCCGGGCUUAACCUGGGAAUUGCGUUUGAAACUAUAAGACUAGAGUGCAAGAGAGGGGAGUGGAAUUCCAUGUGUAGCAGUGAAAUGCGUAGAGAUGUGGAAGAACACCGAUGGCGAAGGCAGCUCCCUGGAUUGACACUGACGCUCAUGCACGAAAGCGUGGGGAGCAAACAGGAUUAGAUACCCUGGUAGUCCACGCCCUAAACUAUGUCAACUGGUUGUCAGAUCUAAUUAAGGAUUUGGUAACGUAGCUAACGCGUGAAGUUGACCGCCUGGGGAGUACGAUCGCAAGAUUAAAACUCAAAGGAAUUGACGG
rnacentral:rRNA from 1 species